GACACACCCCUGUCUGACAACCCCGUGUCUUCAUAACACAUUCAUAUAACACUGUGCAGACUGGUUUCAUACUUUCUAACUGAAAUCUUAAAUUCCACAAUUGAGCUUAAAACUAUUGUAUAUGAUUUAAAAAUGGUAGCAAAAAUGGUAUCCAAAUAGUCCAAGCUAUACUAUUCACCCAAAUGUCUGCUUGGGAGCCAUUGUCAAUGUUCUGGUAAUGCUCUGGUUAAGGUUUAUGGGCAACAUCUCCUUAUCAUUCUUUCUACAAAAGGAAUUCAAUUAUAACUCAACACAUGUGUUUGCGCCAUUUUGUGGUCAAUUACCAAGUUCUUUUACUUUGACCUGCAAUUUAGCAUAAUUAUGCCCCUUUUUGUAGUUAUAAUUUGUUUUCAAGGUGAACGUGUUACACCUCCAUAUCACUGAUUUACAACAAGUAUUCAAUCCAAACUUAACACAUGUGUUUAGGGUCAUUGUGAAGUCACUGACCAAGUUCCAUAACUCUGACAGAAAAUAUACAUUAUACUUUCAAAGCAGAAGAAUAAUUGAGCGUGCUAUUUUGGAACAGCUAUUGGUACGUUAAAUCUGAACACAAUUAAACUUGAAAUAUUUGUAAAAAGUAUGCAUUUGUGUCAUAGUUUCACUCAAUCUUCAAUGAAAAAACAUCUUUUAAUUCAGUUUUACAAUGUGCAAGGUUUGCAUAAGAUACUAUGUUUAAUUCUUAAUGGUAUUAUAACAGAGGCUUAUAUGUCUAAACACUACCAUGUAGGAAACAACUAACACAGUGUUCAAUUGUUGCUUGUUCUGUACUAAACCUAUUAACAAUAUACAAUACAUUAAUGGUUUUGUUAUUAUUUUAUAAUACUUGUUUGUCAAGUCAUUCUGAAUUUUCUAACUGAUCCAGCUGUUUUCUGAGCAACUGUUGGCAUUUUUUUCUCUGCUUAAAAUAGUGACCUCCUUCUGAUUGCUGUAACAUGUAUUUGUACUAUGGGGAUUUGUCUAAAAAAAAUAUAAUAAAAUUAAUAUACAACAUCCUAGUGGUAAGCAUAACUUCACUAUGCAAAAGUUAUAAUGCAGUGGCCAAACAAUUGGAAUAUUAUAUUUGGAAAAAAAUAUUUAAAUGAAACAUUGUCAGAGGAAAAACUCUCACCUUCACAACCAUGAUUUGUUCAUGAUAUAUUUCUGACUGCAAGCUUUGAUUUAUUGCUGUAUAAGGCAGAUAACUCUGAAAUAAAAAAAAAAUGAAAAGUUGGUAAAAAUAAAAAAAAGUUGUUAAUUUCAUCUCCCCAAUCUUAUGCUUAAAAAAUUAAUUACUUUAGUAUUGACUGAAAUAACAAAUUUGAAAAUAAAAUCAUUAUUAUUUUUUUUUUUACAUUACAUCAGUAUUACUUGGUCUGUGUCUUAAAAGAACGUAUCACAACCAUUUACCAUAUUAAUUUGCCCAGUCAAGCAGUGGUAAGCUGAGAUGGGUUUUAGUCCUGUAUAUUUUUUGAUGUUUUAGUUACUCAGUCGAACAGAUAUCAAUAAAUUUCAUUUUGAUAUUUUGUUCACCAUGUUAUUUUGAUUAUUAUUGCAUUGAAUGCUUUUUUCAUUGCUAUGUUUUCAGAGCAAACAACCUAAUGAAAAAACUUUGGAUUAUAAGUGAUUUCUGCUAAUUUUUUUACAGGGUUCAGAUAUCAUUUACUUUGAGGGUUGAGACAACCCUCACUAUGAGGGCUGAGAUGACCCUCACUUUUAGGGUUAAGAUUACCCUCACUUUGAGGUUUGUUAUUACCCUCACCUUAAGGGUUGAGAUAAGCCUCACUUUAAGGGGAGAGAUAACCCUCACUUUGAGGUUUGUUAUUACCCUCACUUUAAUGGUUUUGAUAAGCCUUACUUUGAGGGGAGAGGUAACCCUCAUUUUGAGGUUUGUGAUUUCCCUCACUUUAAGGGUUGAGAUAAGCCCCACUUUGAGGGCAGAGGUAUCCCUUACUGUGAGGGCAGAGGUAACCCUCACUUUGAGGGCAGAGGUAACCCUCACUUUGAGGUUUGUGAUUUCCCUCACUUUAAUGGUUGAAAUGAGCCCCACUUUGAGGGCAGAGGUAUCCCUUACUGUGAGGGCAGAGGUAACCCUCACUUUGAGGGCAGAGGUAACCCUCACUUUGAGGUUUGUGAUUACCCUUACUUUGAGGGUUAUAUGAAAAAAAUAACUUAUUCACCAAUAAAUAAAAGUAUUGGUUAGUGGUGUAUCAUAAAAAGUACAUGGUUAUGAGGGUGAGAGAUUUUCCUAUACCUAUCCUAUAAUUGCAAUAAAAUAUUACUUUAAUGUCUAAAAUUAGGAAAAAAUUAGCUAAUGGUGUUUAUAACUUUUGUUGAGUGCAUAUGCUUUCUAAAUAGAUAUUUUCUUUGGUGGAUUUUUGAUAUAAUAUCUAUGAAUCUGAUUAAUUCCUUAAUCAUUAUUUUAUACCUUAACAACUGUACUAUUUAAUGUACUGGUAAACUUUACAGAAAACAUAUUGAGAUACUAAGACAUACAACACAAGGGCCUCAUAAAAUGUAACUAUGAUGCACAAGUGCCACUGUGGUAAAGUUCACAAAUUAUAUGUGUUGAUGUUCAAAGCACUUCAUCAAAUACAUGUUUGACUGCAUUUAAUUUGAAAGGUCUUUGUAAGUCUGAAGGUACUGUUAUUGAAAGGCUGUUUAAUGCUUAGGCAUCUGCAUGAUGUUAACAUGGGUAGAAAUGAUUACUUUUAGCUUCUUGUCCCCAACAUAAAUGAAUGAUGAGUUGGUAGCUGUUAAAAUUAUGUCUGGUGUAAAUGAAUGUAUGGUGGGCAUGAUUUUUAUUUGAAAAUGGAUGUGAAAUUUGAAUGGUUGAUUGGAUAGGAAAAAUAUGAAAAAUGAGAAUAAAUAUGAAACGUUAAUGGCUAUGAAAUAGGAAUGAUUGUGAGAUUUAAAUGGCUAUGAAAUAUGAUUGUGGGAAGUGAAUGGCAAUAACAUGGAAAUAUAUAUAGGAUGAGAAUGACUGUGUGAAUGUAAUCUAUACCGGAAGCAUUUAUAAUCCUAAGAUGAGAAAUGGUAUGGAGUGGAAAUGGUUGUGGGAUAACAAGAGAAAGAGAAUUGGUGGAUAAAUAAUGUAUACAAAAUUCAGAGUUAGAAAUGGUUUAAUAUUAUGUUUUGAGACCAAUUUUGCACAAUUAUAUGGCAUUUUAAAAGAAGGUAUUUUGAGGCACAUUACAGGGGCACUAUUCUGGUGUGUGGUUUGUAUGAUAUUGUAGUUCCCUGCAUUGUUGUAUUAUCACAGUUUGCAUUCUCUUUGAGAAGUUUUCAGUUUUGUAGAGCUAUUAAAUGUAUGCAUGCAAGUUUUUUAAUUCGUUGUUAUUUAGAGCUUCCAUAUUGGCCACAUCAAUAAAUGAUUUUUGUCACAUAGCUGAAUUUGAUAUGGAAAUGUAAUCAUUUAAAAAUUGAUAUUUUGCUCUUUUACAAAUCAAAUAAUACAGAAAGACUAUUUUAAAUAAUACAUAUAUUAUCAACAAUUAUGUACAACAAUCACUUUCCAUGAAAGCAUUAUUAUCUAUU